ensembl:lncRNA
UUUUGGCUGUAUAACAAAGAACCAAGAACAAAAACAUAUACAUGAUAAUGUACUUCACUUAGAAUCAACUAUCACCAGAAGCCAUUAGAUUCACUAAUUACAUUGUAAGAGCUACAGGACAAAGUACAAACCAUCCAACCCAAAAAGGCCUGUGGUGUUGAUGGUAUACUAAACAAAAUGAUACAGAUAGGCUAUUCUUAAAUCUUCAACAUUAUCCUCAGCUCUGACAUCUUCCCCAAUAUUUGGAACCAAGGUCUGGUCACCUCAAUCCACAAAGGUUUAGGCAAAUUGAACCUCAAUACAGCAGAAUCUGCGUCAACAGUAAUCUCUGGAAAGUCCUCUGCAGUAUCAUCAACAGCAGAGUCCAACAUUUAUUUCCUCAGUGAAAACAAUGUCCUGAGCAAAUGUCAAGUUGACUCCUUCCUAAAAUACUGUACAACAGACCCAUACACCAUGCACAACCUUAUUGACAAACAAACAAAACAAAACAAAAGCGAAGUCUUCUCAUGCUUUGUUGAUUUAAAAAAGGGCUUUACUCAAGUUAACAUUUUAGUCAUUUAGCAGACACUCUUAUCCAGAGUGACUUACAGUAAGUAGACUGCAAACAUUUUCAUACUUUUUUUCUUCUUCUUCGUCAUACUGGACCCCCUUGGGAAUUGAACCUACAACCCUGGUGUUGCAAGUGCCAUGCGCUACCAACUGAGACACAUGGGACCACUUUGGCAUUAGGGUCUGCUAAACAAAUGGUUGGAAAUUGGCAAUAAACAUACACUUUCCUCAGGGCCGUGGGGUGAGACAGGGAUGCAGCUUGAGCCCCACCAUCUUCAACAUACUGUAUAUCAAUUAAUUGGCGAGGGCACUAGAACAGUCUGCAGCACCCGGCUUCACCCUGCUGGACUUUGAACUCAAACGUCUACUGUUUGCAGAUGAUCUGGUUCUUCUGUCCCCAACCAAAGAGGACCUACAGCAGCACCUAGAUCUUCUGCACAGAUUCUGUCAGACCUGGAACCUGUCGGUGACUCUCAGUAAGCCAAAAAUAACGGUGUUCCAAAAAAGGUCCAGUUGCCAGGACAACGAAUACAAGAGAGAUCAUAUUUAGACACCGUUGCCCAAGAGCAUACCAAUAAUUAUACCUACCUCUGCCUAAACAGAGGAACAUAAAACUCAACAUCCCAAUUAGGAUCUGGCUCAGUCAGUUAUAGAACCCAUUGCCCUCUGUGAUUGUGAGGUCUGGGCUCCACUCACCAACUAAGAAUUCACUAAAUGGGACAAACACCCAAUUGAGACUCUGCAUGCAGAAUUCUGCAAAGACGCAAAACCCCAAAUGAUGCAAGCAGAGCAAAAUUAGGACUAUACCCGCUAGUUAUCAAAAUCCAGAAAAGAGCUGUUCAAUUUUACAACCACCUAAAAUGAAAAGAUGCCCACACAUUCCACCACAAAGCCCUCACCUACAGAGAUGAACCUAGAAAAGAGUCCCCUUCAGCCAGCUGGUUCUGGGGCUCUGUUUACAAACACAAACAGACCCAGGACAGCAACACAAUUAGAUCCAAACAAAUUAUGAGAAUGCAAAAAGAGAAUUAUUUGACACACUGUAAAGAAUCAACCAGAAAACAAAGCAAUUUGGAAUGCUAUCUGGAAUCAAUAGAUUAGAUACGUGCCCACUGUCCACAGUGGAAACUGAGCUGCACUUCCUAACCUCCUGCCAAAUGUAUGACCAUAUUAGAGACACAUAUUUCCCACAGAUCACAUAGACCCGGAAAGAAUUUGUAAACAAAUCAAACUGAUAAAUUCCCAUAUCUGUUAGUCAAAAUACCGUAAUGUGCCAUCACAGUAGCAAAAGUUGUGGCCCAUUGCCAUGAGAAAAAAGAGCGAGAGAGAUGCUAGGAGUAUAGUAAUAUCCAUGAGAAAAGAGAGAGAGAUGCUAGGAGUAUAGUAAUGUCCAUGAGAAAAGAGAGAGAGAUGCUAGGAGUAUAGUAACGUCCAUGAGAAAAGAGAGAGAGGGUGAGAUGCUAGGAGUAUAGUAACGUCCAUGAGAAAAGAGAGAGAGAGAUGCUAGGAGUAUAGUAAUGUCCAUGAGAAAAGAGAGAGAGAGAGAGAGAGAUGCUAGGAGUAUAGUAAUGUCCAUGAGAAAAGAGAGAGAGGGUGAGAUGCUAGGAGUAUAGUAAUGUCCAUGAGAAAAGAGAGAGAGGGUGAGAUGCUAGAGUAUAGUAACGUCCAUGAGAAAAGAGAGAGAGAGAUGCUAGGAGUAUAGUAAUGUCCAUGAGAAAAGAGAGAGAGAGAGAGAUGCUAGGAGUAUAGUAAUGUCCAUGAGAAAAGAGAGAGAGGGUGAGAUGCUAGGAGUAUAGUAACGUCCAUGAGAAAAGAGAGAGAGAGAUGCUAGGAGUAUAGUAAUGUCCAUGAGAAAAGAGAGAAGAGAGAGAGAGAUGCUAGGAGUAUAGUAAUGUCCAUGAGAAAAGAGAGAGAGAGAGAGAGAGAUGGUAGGAGUAUAGUAAUGUCCAUGAGAAAAGAGAGAGAGAGAUGCUAGGAGUAUAGUAACAUCCAUGAAAAAGAGAGAGAGAGAUGCUAGGAGUAUAGUAAUGUCCAUGAGAAAAGAGAGAGAGAGAGAGAUGCUAGGAGUAUAGUAACAUCCAUGAGAAAAGAGAGAGAGAGAGAGAGAGAUGCUAGGAGUAUAGUAAUGUCCAUGAGAAAAGAGAGAGAGAGAGAGAUGCUAGGAGUAUAGUAACGUCCAUGAGAAAAGAGAGAGAGAGAUGCUAGGAGUAUAGUAACGUCCAUGAGAAAAAGAGAGAGAGAGAGAUGCUAGGAGUAUAGUAAUGUCCAUGAGAAAAGAGAGAGAGGGUGAGAUGCUAGGAGUAUAGUAACGUCCAUGAGAAAAGAGAGAGAGAGAGAGAGAUGCUAGGAGUAUAGUAAUGUCCAUGAGAAAAGAGAGAGAUAGAGAGAUGCUAGGAGUAUAGUAAUGUCCAUGAGAAAAGAGAGAGAGGGUGAGAUGCUAGGAGUAUAGUAACGUCCAUGAGAAAAGAGAGAGAGAGAGAGAUGCUAGGAGUAUAGUAAUGUCCAUGAGAAAAGAGAGAGAGAGAGAGAGAGAGAUGCUAGGAGUAUAGUAAUGUCCAUGAGAAAAGAGAGAGAGAGAGAGAUGCUAGGAGUAUAGUAAUGUCCAUGAGAAAAGAGAGAGAGAGAUGCUAGGAGAGUAUAGUAAUGUCCAUGAGAAAAGAGAGAGAGAGAUGCUAGGAGUAUAGUAACAUCCAUGAGAAAAAAGAGAGAGA